GCGAAUCUCUGCUCUAAAAAUUAGAUCUAGAUCUGAUCUGGAAGAUCUUUAAAAGAUCUUCUGAAGCUGGAGCAGUAGCUUUUCGAUAAAUUCCUACAGCCUUCUGAUCAGAGAGCCACCAUGCCUUGGACAAGCACCAGAUGGAUGCCCAACCUCUUGGACAUGAAGAGAGAAGAGAGAGGAGCAAAGAAGACAUAGAGAAGUGAAGGGGUUUCAUAUUUUUGCUGGGUAUUGAGCAGAUUCUCUCAACCCUAGG
rnacentral:lncRNA from 1 species